UACGUAGGGGGCAAGCGUUGUCCGGAAUCAUUGGGCGUAAAGAGCGUGUAGGCGGCUCGGUAAGUCCGUUCUGAAAGUCCAGGGCUCAACCCUGGGAUGCGGAUGGAUACUGCCGGGCUCGAGUCCGGAAGAGGCGAGUGGAAUUCCCGGUGUAGCGGUGAAAUGCGCAGAUAUCGGGAGGAACACCAAUGGCGAAGGCAGCUCGCUGGGACGUGACUGACGCUGAGACGCGAAAGCGUGGGAGCAAACAGGG
rnacentral:rRNA from 1 species